CAUGGGCGAAAGCCUGAUGGAGCACCCCGCCUGUUGAUGAAGGGUUUCGACUCGUAAAACACUGUGUUAGAGAAGAUGACAUUGAGAGUCACUGUUCAAUGUGUGACGGUAUCUUACCAGAAAGGAACGGCUAUAUACGUGCCAGCAGCCGCGGUAAUACGUAUGUUCCAAGCGUUAUCCGGAUUUAUUGGGCGUAAAGCGAGAGCAGACGGUUAUUUAAGUCUGAAGUGAAAGCCCUCAGCUCAACUGAGGAAUUGCUUUGGAAACUGGAUGACUUGAGUGCAGUAGAGGAUAGUGGAACUUCAUGUGUAGCGGUGAAAUGCGUAGAUAUAUGGAAGAACAUCAGUGGCGAAGGCGGCUUUCUGGACUGUAACUGACGUUGAGGCUCGAAAGUGUGGGUAGCAAACAGGAUUAGAUACCCUGGUAGUCCACACCGUAAACGAUGAGUGCUAGGUGUUUGAGGGUUUCCGCCCUUAAGUGCCGCAGGUAACGCAUUAAGCACUCCGCCUGGGGAGUACGACCGCAAGGUUGAAACUCAAAGGAAUUGACGGGGACCCGCACAAGCGGUGGAGCAUGUGGUUUAAUUCGAAGCAACGCGAAGAACCUUACCAGGUCUUGACAUCCCUUGACAACUCCAGAGAUGGAGCGUUCCCUUCGGGGACAAGGUGACAGGUGGUGCAUGGUUGUCGUCAGCUCGUGUCGUGAGAUGUUGGGUUAAGUCCCGCAACGAGCGCAACCCUUAUUACUAGUUGCCAGCAUUCAGUUGGGCACUCUAGUGAGACUGCCGGUGACAAACCGGAGGAAGGUGGGGAUGACGUCAAAUCAUCAUGCCCCUUAUGACCUGGGCUACACACGUGCUACAAUGGCGUAUACAACGAGUUGCCAACCCGCGAGGGUGAGCUAAUCUCUUAAAGUACGUCUCAGUUCGGAUUGUAGGCUGCAACUCGCCUACAUGAAGUCGGAAUCGCUAGUAAUCGCGGAUCAGCACGCCGCGGUGAAUACGUUCCCGGGUCUUGUACACACCGCCCGUCACACCAUGAGAGUUUGUAACACCCAAAGCCGGUGGGGUAACCUUCGGGAGCCAGCCGUCUAUAGAUGGGC
rnacentral:rRNA from 1 species